rnacentral:ribozyme from 1 species
AAUGAAUCAAAUCAAAAAGUAAGGAAGGAUUAUGGAGAAAGAAGCAAACAUCAAAAACGUAACCAUGCCGGCGGCAGUUACGGUUACGUGUUAUUGCAAAAAGCUCUUUUUUUGUUUCGGUCGUUUUCUUGGGUGUGCGGACUUUUUUUCAUAUGUGUAACGUUU